CGGUGGGGGCCCGCCGCCGCGAUGAGUUGGCGCCUCCCCUCGAAGCAGCUCGGCCUCGGCGGGACGCGCUCGGAUGCCCUGAUUGUGAAGUAAGUUUGUCUCAAGUCCCUGGAAUCGUACUUGCAGUGCUUCUUCCAAUCCAUCCUGCCACUCAUAGGACAAACAGCAGGAUUUCGUUGUCUAGCACAUGAACGAUAACAGCAACGCCAUUGAACAAGAUGGGAAGAACCCUGUUUUUGUUUAGGUAGUGAUACGGUCAGUCACAGAGAAGAAAUCCUGGCUUGUAUGAGCACAUCAUAUCAAUCCGUUCUCAUUGGCAGUGUCUGGGGUUGGCAGGUGACUAGUCCCCGAUGAAGACACUUAUGAGGAAGGUCACGUUGAAGAAAGACCCCGCCACCCACUCAGCUGCUCCCUUCUUCUCUUCAGGCUUUUUUCAUAUUGUCUCAUGAGGACUUGAUAUUUGGAGAGCUGCUGCUGAAGCUUGGAAUGUCCCAAUGGAUACACAUGAUACAUAUGCACAAUUAUGAACUUAUACUGCAGUUCUAGAUUUAUUGACAGGGAAAGAUAUCUAUGAUAUG